GAUCAACGCUGGCGGCGUGCCUAAUGCAUGCAAGUCGGACGGGCGAGUCGUUGUGAGUCGUCACGUGGCGGACGGGUGCGUAGCACGUGGGCAACCUGCCCUGGGGCGGGGGAUAGCCGGGGGAAACCGCGGGCAAUUCCGCAUACGUUCAGGGGUCGAUGAAGGACCGCUGAAAGAAAGGGACCGUACGCGGUCUCACCCCAGGAGGGGCCUGCGGCCGAUUAGCUAGUUGGGGGGUAACGCUUCCCAAGGCGAUGAUCGGUAGCUGGUCUGAGAGGACGGCCAGCCACACGGGGACUGAGACACGGCCCCGACUCCUACGGGAGGCAGCAGCAAGGAAUCUUCCGCAAUGGGCGAGAGCCUGACGGAGCAACGCCGCGUGGGGAUGAGGCGCUUCGGCGUGUAAACCCCUUUUC
rnacentral:rRNA from 1 species